rnacentral:rRNA from 1 species
CAGCAGCCGCGGUAAUACGUAGGUGGCAAGCGUUGUCCGGAAUUAUUGGGCGUAAAGCGCGCGCAGGCGGAUCAGUUAGUCUGUCUUAAAAGGCAGGGGCUCAGCCCCUGUAAGGGAUGGAAACUAUCGAUCUUGAGUGCCGGAGAGGAAAGCGGAAUUCCCAGUGUAGCGGUGAAAUGCGUAGAUAUUGGGAAGAACACCAGUGGCGAAGGCGGCUUUCUGGACGGCAACUGACACUGAGGCUCGAAAGCCAGGGGAGCGAACGGGAUUAGAUACCCCCGUAGUCCCUGUCUCUUAUACA